CUCAGUUCGGAUUGUAGGCUGCAACUCGCCUACAUGAAGUCGGAAUCGCUAGUAAUCGCGGAUCAGCAUGCCGCGGUGAAUACGUUCCCGGGCCUUGUACACACCGCCCGUCACACCAUGAGAGUUUGUAACACCCAAAGCCGGUGGGGUAACCUUUUGGAGCCAGCCGUCUAAGGUGGGACAGAUGAUUGGGGUGAAGUCGUAACAAGGUAAC
rnacentral:rRNA from 1 species